AUUCUGGGGGAGGUAGUGACGAAACAUAACGAAGCGUGCGCCCUUCACGGGUCUCGCUAUCGGAAUGAGCACUUUUCUAAACACCCUGUUGAGAACCUACUGAAGGGCAAGUCUGGUGCCAGCAGCCGCGGUAAUUCCAGCUUCAGUAGCAUAUAUUAAAGUUGCUGCGGUUAAAAGGCUCGUAGUUGAAUGUCUGUUCCGAGUUGCGGCAGGUGGACGUUGGGGUUGUUGUUGGCUCCUUCGCGGUGUYCAGCACACGCUCCCGUCCGUUAACAUCCUCCGCACUCGCGUACAAAAGGGCGUCGACCGAGAGGGCUUCUGUUCUCUCGCAGACGCCACAGUCACCCUGAGUAAAUCAGAGUGCUCAAAGCAGUCGUAAAGGGCCUAGCCCUGUUAACACACGGAGUGAGCUUCGCGCUCGCUCUAAGAGGACAGACUUGGUUUUGCAUGGUAUGUCGGAAUACGACGUCGGGCGCUGGCUAAUGGUCGUAGCAGUGGUAUAAGCCAGCCUCGACGUAAUGAUUAAAAGGGCUUGUCGAGGGCAUUGGUAUUGCGAAGCGAGAGGUGAAAUUCUAUGACCUUCGCAAGACCUCCUGAAGCGAAAGCGUCUGCCAAGGAUGUUUUCAUUAAUCAUGAACGAAAGUUAGAGGAUCGAAGGCGAUCAGAUACCGCCCUAGUUCUAACCCUAAACGAUGCCAACCAUCAAUUCGUCGAGCACCCUUCUUGACGGGCUCGACGGGCGGCUCCUAUCUUACGGGAAACCAGAGUCUCUGGGUUCCGGGGGGAGUCUGGUUGCAAAGCUGAAACUUAAAGGAAUUGACGGAAAGGCACCACCAGGCGUGGAGCCUGCGGCUUAAUUUGACUCAACACGGGCAAUCUCACCAGGCCAGGACUCUAGAAUGAUUGACAGAUUGAGAGCUCUUUCUCGAUUUAGUGGAUGGUG
rnacentral:rRNA from 1 species